AAGGCUUACAACUACCAAAGAUUCUUCUUCUUCUUCUUCUUCUUCUAAUAAUAAUAAUACAGCAAAUGUUCUUGAAAACUACAGAAACCUGAGAACACCAUCCAACCUGGAACUGAAGAGAGCACUCUUCUGAGGAGAACACAUUUCUAUGUCACAAAGUGCUAUACAGAAA